rnacentral:rRNA from 1 species
AGUGAACGCUGGCGGUAGGCCUAACACAUGCAAGUCGAGCGGCAGCACAGUAAGAGCUUGCUCUUACGGGUGGCGAGUGGCGGACGGGUGAGGCAUACAUCGGAAUCUACUUUUUCGUGGGGGAUAACGUAGGGAAACUUACGCUAAUACCGCAUACGACCUACGGGUGAAAGCAGGGGAUCUUCGGACCUUGCGCGAUUGAAUGAGCCGAUGUCGGAUUAGCUAGUUGGCGGGGUAAAGGCCCACCAAGGCGACGAUCCGUAGCUGGUCUGAGAGGAUGAUCAGCCACACUGGAACUGAGACACGGUCCAGACUCCUACGGGAGGCAGCAGUGGGGAAUAUUGGACAAUGGGCGCAAGCCUGAUCCAGCCAUACCGCGUGGGUGAAGAAGGCCUUCGGGUUGUAAAGCCCUUUUGUUGGGAAAGAAAAGCAGCAGGUUAAUACCCCGCUGUUCUGACGGUACCCAAAGAAUAAGCACCGGCUAACUUCGUG